rnacentral:misc_RNA from 1 species
ACUCGGACUGCAAAAUUUGAAUGGCUGCUACCACGCCACAGCUAAUGAUACAACACUCAACACUUGCAUUGCUUGCAUACAUAAUUUCCAAGGUCAAUGCAUCUACCAUAUGCAAAAGGAGUGAAGUCCCGUCAAAUAUGCAUCUACCAAGGUCAUUUGGGUACGUACAUGUUGAAACCCUGCAAAUUGAUCAGCUGCACACCUGGACCUGGUGCUUCAGCUAGACCCGGGAGUAGGUUUCAUUUUCUUUGCAGAUGGAGACAUGAAUAGCUUUCUUACUGAAGUAAUGGGAUCAUCCACCUUAAUCACGGAAGUGGGUGAAGGAGAUUUUGUAGAAGGGCUAGAAUGCUCCUUUAGACGAAAUAAAGCAGAUAAUGUUUGCUUCCAACCAGCUGCCCCACUGUUUGUUGAUACAAUCCAGGGGCAAAAAUGUCUGUGCUGCCUGAUUGGAUCAAACUCCAUUCCUUCAUCUGAUAUUUCC